CUAUACAUAUAAUAAAAUCGUAGAAAAGUGCUGUCUGUACAUUGAAAAUAAAAAUAAAAAAAAUAGCAGGGGUUAUUGUUAUGUUGAUGUCGAACCCAAAAAUGUAAUUAACUUUUUUUUUGUCUGUUUGUCUGUUUGUCUGUUUGUCUGUUUGUCUGUUUGUCUGUUCGUCUGUGCGCGCUAAUCUCAGAAACGGCUGAUCCGAGUUGGAUGCGGUUUUCACGAAUAUAUUGUGGGAUGCUUAAAUUUACAUUUAGUGUUUGUUUCAUGUCAAUCGGUUCAUAAAUAAAAAAGUUAUGUCAAAUUAAAAAAUCACGUCGAACAUUCUAUGCUUAUACCAUUAAUCUCCGCAACUAUUUGACGGAUUUGGUUGAAAUUUGGUACAGAUAUAGUUUAGAACCUUAGAAAGGACAUAGAUAUAUUUUUAUUUCAAAAAUCAAAAAAUAAAAAUAAGAAAUAAAUUAUUUAUAAAUAAUUCUAUGUCGAUCGUUACACGACUUCGGUUCAUGUUAUUGUUUCAAUUUAUCGAAAAAAAGUAAAUAAAUAGUAAAAAGGUAUGAAAAAAAUAAUAUCAAUAUAAUAAAACAUUUAGUACAAAGAAAAUGCUCUAACGGAGUAUAGAUAAUUCUAUGUCGAUCGUUACACGACUUCGGUUCAUGUUAUUGUUUUAAUUCAUCGAAAAAAGUAAAUAAAUAGUAAAAAGGUAUGAAAAAAAUAAUAUCAAUAUAAUUAAACUUUUAGUACAAAGAAAAUGCCCGAACGGAGUAUAAAUAAAUAAUCCAAGUUGUCUUUCGAUUUCGGAUCGAAAUAGAUCGCGCUAUGGUUUCGUUACAUUCAUUUGGUUGGGUAUCGGCCGAGCGCUUCGGUACUAUCGUAGAAAAAGUGUAUUAUCAGUCGUAUGAUUAUUUGUCUGUAGUGGUCCUGCUGUUUCGUAUAUUCUAAAUUGGUUUCGUUGUAUUUGUCAAUUAAUAAGUUUAUUUGUUGGGUUUUCCUGGUUUUUUGGUUAAACUAUUUAACGUAGGUUUAGUUUGAUAUCGAUUAUUAGUAGUUACUGUAGUUAGUUUUUUUAAUAAAAUUGUAAGUCUAAUUUUUUUUUUAAUUAGAUUAGAUUUAAGUCGUUUCUUUUAAAUUAUUUAGUUUAAGCUUGGUUAUUAUAGCAUAGAGGAUAGGUUGUAAUAUAGUUUCUUUUUUAAUUGUUAUAAAUUCGUAAUUCGUAGCUUUCUUUAGUUUUAAGUUAGUUUAAGUCCAUUUUUAAACUAUUUUUUCAAUGCCCUAAGUGAGUAUACAUCUAUUAAAUUCAAACGCAGAGCUCAUUAUGUUGAUUUUUGAAGAGUUCCCUGGAAUAUCUUCCACAUCUCAUUUUUGAAGAGAUCCCGCGAGAUCGGGAACUAUGUGGUUAAAACCAAAAAUUUGCCGGAAGUCACUAUUCCACGCGAACGAAGUCGCGGGCAAAAGCUAGUAAAAAAAUAUAUAUUGUAAAAACAAGUUGGUCACGAUCCAUCAUUGUUGUUAGUCUUUAAUUACUAUUAAUUCUAUUGACAAAAUAUAAAAUGGCGAGAAAGAAAGUUGAGUUAUUCAUAGAAAUUCACAAUGAAAAGGAUUUCCAUCUAAUAUUGAAGACGAACAAGAAAUUUCUUAUUUGUGCAGAAAUAUUCAGUAACGCUUUUGGUCCCUGUUCAGCACUCGAUAGAUUGUUCAGUACUAUCAAAAUGAACUGGUCUGAUGGCAAGCUUAUAUUGCUAAAGGUACCAGCGGACGAGAUAGAAGUACUGCAAAGAUUCAGACAUCAGAGUGAACCAGUCUACAUGUUUAUAUCGAACGCCAGAGUGACGAAGGUGUUCAGAGGAGUGGAUCCUAUCACUUUUGCUGAAGUGGCCAAGUAUGAGCUGUACUGCUUCCAGCGAUGGAAGGAUGGGCAUCCCGUAGACCGGCCCCUAUACCAACUUGAUGAGGUUACCCCUGAUGAAAUGGAGUGGAUGGCAACAAGAAAGUUAGAAAAGGAUCAAGAAUCUUCAGCUCUGAAUGCUCGCCGUUCCGCUCGGCAAGCAAUACGCAAGCACCACCGCGCCGAGCUGAUGGUGCCAUUCCUGACUGACAUAAACUUCGUAAUCUUCUGGCCGCAUUGCUUCCACGCCCAUCCAGAACUUUAUGAACAGUGGGAUGCGAACAAUAUCAUAAUGAUUGGCCGAGAAGAGAUAGACAUAUCAGAAGAUAAAGUAGCAGAUAUAUUCUACGCGGGCGAUGCUCCCUUGAAUGAAGCGUCGCUGCACAAGCUCAAGUCGGGACCAGUUCUUGCUAUCUGCUUUCGAUUGCUGAAUGCGGACGUAAAUUUUGUGUCUUUAGUUCGUCGCAUCCUCUACGAAGAAGUACCACCGUAUGAUGAGACGCAGGAUAGUCAAUCCCUGAGGUCCUUGAAAACUGCUUUCGACCGUUAUAAAACUUACAGUCCAUUUAAGGAAGACGUCUGGAGACAGCGCAGGGAAGAGGAGGAGCAAAGAAGGCAAGAAGAAAAAAAGCGUCAAGCUAGAUUUUUGUCAGAGACGCGUCGCUUAGCUAGAGAAGCUGCUCUCGAGGCUACGGAAGCAAAGAAAAAAGAGAAGGAACAGAGAAAAUUGGAACUCUUGAAAACUGGAAACCUUGAAGCCCUAGCGGCGUUGGAUACAAAGUCUUGUGACUACUUACCUGCAGCGGUAUCGAGGGUAUCAUUGAUUUUCCAAGAAGAUUUAGAAGAGGAGGAGGAAGAAUUCGUAAUAGAUGAGAAUGAGUAUUUUCCACCGGCUGGACUACUCAUACCAGGGUUCUAUGCUCCGCCCAAUGACAUCGCGAAGGCAAACGGAUUAGCUGUACUCUUUCCGAAGUUAGUUCUAGAACGAGUGACUCCACAUCCAGAGUUCUUACCUCAACAUGUACUCGCCCUAUUGGAGAUCAACAAACGACACAAAGCGAUUGAGGCCAUAGCGCCUUUUAAACAUGCUAUUAUUAAUAUGGGUAUAUUUGAGGCAUCGUCGCCAUACCAUUCCGUUCACAUUGCAUACACAGUCAAGCAAUUUGAUACACUAGAUAGCACUUCUUUGAAUUUGGACAUUAUGCGGCUGGCUUUCAUGCUGUCCAUGGAGGUGGAUGUGCCAUUGCUCCAUCUGAUGGAUUUGAACCCGCUGCAUGUCAGUCGCGACUGUUCGGCUGGAGAGGAGGAGUGCGCUGCCAUGUUCCCUGUUAAUUACGGGGAUGAUUAUGAUCAGUUCGAAGACUUCAAUUAGGUAUUAGUUUUAGAUUAUGGAGUUUUUAAGGCCGAGACACAGUAUGGCUAAAGUGUCCAUACCUGUGUUGUUGGUGUUGUCGGGAGCGGUGCUGUCUUCCUGCUACUGUCCGCCUGAUAAGUUCAAGAACAUCAGCCACUGCGCCUUCCACAUCCACUGCUAUGGCGACAUCCGCGGCGUCCAACUCCCCAACGAAUGCCGUG